rfam:Mesocestoides corti genome assembly, scaffold: MCOS_contig0002488
GAGAGGGUGAGAGGCCCGUACGGGUGGAGGAUGUUGAGACAUGUGGGCAGUUCACCAGGUCGGCCUUAGAGUCGGGUUGUUUGAGAAUGCAGCCCAAAGUGGGUGGUAAACUCCAUCCAAGGCUAAAUACAAGCACGAGUCCGAUAGCGAACAAGUACCGUGAGGGAAAGUUGAAAAGUACUCUGAAGAGAGAGUAAACAGUACGUGAAACCGCAUGCAGGUAAACGGGUGGCGUCAAGCUGCGAGCCCAGAGGAUUCAGCUGGCUAGGUUGUUGUUUAUGCGCCUGGCGCAUCUACUGACCGGAGUAAGACAUAGUAGUCCACUGGGAGACAGUGGGCCCAGCUCGCUUGCGAGUUGGGAUGUGUGUGCCGGGUGGAAGCCGGAGCACGCUGCUAUCUGUCCGUUGGGUCGACUAGCCAGUGCAUUUUCUCUGUGGUGAACACCACGACCGGUGGAAACGCCAGUCUGCUGUAGUCGAGUCGUGUCCUGGUAGUUGCCGUAUGCUUUGCGGCUGCGGGGAUUGCUAAUUGGAUGCGAUCACAGGCAACGUGCGUAGACGGCGUAAGGUUGUUGCUAAGGCGGUGACUUUGCGUGUUAUCGUCUGCCUGUUGUAAACGAGUCACUUGGUGGUUGUUGUGACCGUCACCGGGUGGCUUGGUGGGCUAUGGCGGUUGAAAUGACUGUGCGGUGCACCGGAUUUGUCCACCUCAAGUGCCGCUGUCGUUGCUGCGGCUGUUGCUGCUGCUGCUGUCCAUCUUCGUGGUGGCGGUGGUGGUGGCGGCGGCGGUAGUGGCGGUUGUGGUGAUUGCAUUGGGCACGCAUGUCACAAGUGUUGUGUCGGGUGCCAUUGUCAAGGUCUGCCCGUAGUUUUGGGUGUGAUUGCCGUGUUGCCUGCGCAAAGUAGGUCCGGCAGUGGUCUAAUGCGGGUUGGGCUGUGAUGGGCGCUCGCUUGUGCCGCCGUGUAUGGAUGCUGUGGGUGGAAUAGUCCGUGGUGCUGUGGUAGAUUAGCCACCUGACCCGUCUUGAAACACGGACCAAGGAGUUUAACAUGUGUGCGAGUCAAAGGGUCCUACGAAACCCCAAGGCGCAGUGAAAGUGAGGCCUUGAGUUUGCUCGAGGUGAGGUGAGAUCCUGCUGUUACUCGCAUCAGUCUGAUGAUCAGUACCAGGCUACAAAGAGCAGUGGGCGCAUCACCGGCCCGUCCCAUGAUGUAGUCACUGGGUAUCUACUGCACGCGGAGUGUGGUGUCGUCUUGGUCGUCGUCGCACACGCGUGUUGUACCAGUGCGUCAUCGGGGCGGAGCAUGAGCACACAUGUUGAGACCCGAAAGAUGGUGAACUAUGCUUGCGUAGGUUGAAGCCAGAGGAAACUCUGGUGGAGGACCGUAGCGAUUCUGACGUGCAAAUCGAUCGUCAAACGUGAGUAUAGGGGCGAAAGACUAAUCGAACCAUCUAGUAGCUGGUUCCCUCCGAAGUUUCCCUCAGGAUAGCUGGCACUCAUUCGCAUGAUCAGUUUUAUCCGGUAAAGCGAAUGAUUAGAGGUGCUGGGUUCGAAACGAGCUCAACCUAUUCUCAAACUUUAAAUGGGUAAGAUGCCCGGCUCGCCUAACGACUGUGGUACUGGUUGCUGCAGGGAGGAGUCGGGCGUUGAAUGUGCGAGUGCCAAGUGGGCCAUUUUUGGUAAGCAGAACUGGCGCUGUGGGAUGAACCAAACGUCCGGUUAAGGUGCCUAACGCUGACGCUCAUGAGAUACCACAAAAGGUGUUGGUUAAUAUAGACAGCAGGACGGUGGCCAUGGAAGUCGGCAUCCGCUAAGGAGUGUGUAACAACUCACCUGCCGAAUUGACCAGCCCUGAAAAUGGAUGGCGCUGGAGCGUCGGACCUAUACCGGGCCGUCAUCGCAAGCUGGGUCACUGGCGUGUGGUGGUGCGGCGGUGGCAGCAACAGACUGUGUGUGCGUUGCCGCAGUGAAGUCAUGGCCCAGGCAUGGAGCGCGAUGACGAGUAGGAGGGUCGCCGUGGUGAGCGUGGAAGCCUUGGGCGUGAGCCUGGGUGGAGCCGCCACGGGUGCAGAUCUUGGUGGUAGUAGCAAAUAUUCAAGUGAGAACCUUGAAGGCCGAGGUGGAGAAGGGUUCCAUGGGAACAGUAGUUGGCCAUGGGUCAGGCGGUCCUAAGUGAUCCGGUGACUCGGUACAGAGUCGUGGGGUGCCUUUUGUGUGUGUGUG